rnacentral:rRNA from 1 species
CCUACGGGAGGCAGCAGUGGGGAAUUUUGCGCAAUGGGCGAAAGCCUGACGCAGCAACGCCGCGUGAGUGAUGAAGGCUUUCGGGUCGUAAAGCUCUGUCGAGGGGAAAGAAGUGUAUUAUGGCUAAUAUCCAUGAUACUUGACGGUACCCCUAAAGGAAGCACCGGCUAACUCCGUGC